GUAAGGAAUAUUGGACAAUGGACGCAAGUCUGAUCCAGCCAUGCCGCGUGAAGGAUUAAGGUCCUCUGGAUUGUAAACUUCUUUUAUAAGGGACGAAAAAAGGCUUUUCUAAGUCGUCUGACGGUACCUUAUGAAUAAGCACCGGCUAACUCCGUGCCAGCAGCCGCGGUAAUACGGAGGGUGCAAGCGUUAUCCGGAUUCACUGGAUUUAAAGGGUGCGUAGGCGGGCAGGUAAGUCAGUGGUGAAAUCCUAGAGCUUAACUCUAGAACUGCCAUUGAUACUAUCUGUCUUGAAUAUUGUGGAGGUAAGCGGAAUAUGUCAUGUAGCGGUGAAAUGCUUAGAUAUGACAUAGAACACCUAUUGCGAAGGCAGCUUACUACGCAUAUAUUGACGCUGAGGCACGAAAGCGUGGGGAUCAAACAGGAUUAGAAACCCUAGUAGUCC
rnacentral:rRNA from 1 species